AGCAGCCGCCGCGGUAAUACGGAGGAUCCAAGCGUUAUCCGGAAUUAUUGGGUUUAAAGGGUGCGUAGGCGGCAUGCUAAGUCAGGGGUGAAAGACGGUGGCUCAACCAUCGCAGUGCCUUUGAUACUGGUGUGCUUGAAUGUACAUGAGGUAGGCGGAAUGAGACAAGUAGCGGUGAAAUGCAUAGAUAUGCCACAGAACACCGAUUGCGAAGGCAGCUUACCAAGGCAAAAUUGACGCUGAGGCACGAAAGCGUGGGGAUCGAACAGGAUUAGAUACCCGUGUAGUCCCUGUCUCUUAUAC
rnacentral:rRNA from 1 species